CCAGGUUCAAGCGAUCCUCUUGCCGCAGCCUCCUGAGUAGUGGGGAUUACAGUUCAGGUGCUGCUGAAGUGAGCAAAACAACUUUUUACUUUUAUAUUUGUUUUGUGGGGAGAGGAUUUGUCCACCUUUUUCGGCUGCUCUAACUUGAAGUAUCAUCUCUGCUUUUCUGCUAUUUUUGUACACUUGGCAACAACGUGGGACCCUCAUUUAAAAGUGCAAGCAACCUUAUAAAAGAGACCCCAGAAACAUUCCUCACCCCCUUUACCAUGUGAAGACACAGAAAAAGACAGCCAUCUAUUAUCCAGGAAGCAGGCCCUCACCAGACUCCAAAUCUACCAAUGCCUUGACUUUGUACUUCCAGCCUCUAGGACCAUGAGUAACUAAUCUCUGCCUAUGGCAUUUUGUUAUAGCAGCUUGAACAGACUAAAACAAUCACUUAUGUAUAAGGAAAAUUAACUUUUGGCAAGUUAUUUUUAUGGCAGUUAACCCUCACUCAAGGAUAUUCAGCAAGUAAUUGUAGAAGGAGACAGGAACCCACCUGUGUCUGCAACAAUUCUGAAAAAAAUCUCUUAAACACCACGGUUCAACAGGAGGAUGCAUCCUGAAAGAGAAAUGGGCUUCAUUUUAGGUAGAGGACCAAGAACUUUGCUUCAUUCCUGGCGGCGUGCAUUGCUUAUGGCAGCAUGAAAAAAACAGUCCUGAGUAUAAAGUAGAAAACAUAGUGGACUAGAAGUAAUGGCUCACUUGGUAAGCUGUGGGGCUUUUGGCAAAUUCUUUAACCUCUCUGGGGCUCUGUUACAACAUCUGUGAGGUGAGGCAUUUGGACUAGGUGAUCUUUUUUAUUCAGCAACACAAACUGUGCUGCGUGCCAGGCAGUAGGAUCUUGAGUUGAGUCACACACAGUCCUGGUUCACAUUCUGGCUGAUAAGAGCUGGAAGAGGAGUGAAUUAAAAAUACCAGCAGACACACAGGAGGGGAUAAUUCAUUCUGUUUGCUAGGGCUUGGGAGCUGAUCUUUCAAAAGUAGAAAUUCCCCAGAAAUGUAUUAGUUUUGUCAUCAUUCAUUCAUUUAUUCGACAAAUGUUGACACUAUGGCAACUGUAUACCAGGGUGCCUACUUUCUAUGAAGAAUAGGGAAAUAGUCAUGAAGAAAGCAGACAAAAUCUUUACUUUCUUUCAGUAUAGUCUAAGCGGAAGGUGCUAGGGGAGGUUGGGAAAAGGUACUAUUAGUAUUUAGCAUUGAAUGAAUAUUUAAUAUUGUUUCAUUUCACUCUCCCAAUAUAUCCACAAAGAAGGCAGUACCCUCACUUUACAGAGAGAAAGCUGAGGCCUAGAGGAGUGAAAUCAUUCACUGAGCUCAUACUAAUAAGUCAUAAGGACUCAAGCCCACCCUUGCCUGGGUUCAGAGCUCCAGCAUUUACCCGUAUUGCAAUUUUAUGGCAGAAGUGGCUUCCUCGGCCGCUGGGUGAGUGAACACUUGGUUCGCCUUCCCAACACUUCCUCUUUGAGUAACAGUGCACCUGUUUUCCUCUGGAGAGCUAAGCCCUCCCACUCUCAAUUCAGUCCUAUAAAGAGGAGCUCUCGUCCCUCCUACAGGUGUCAGCUGAACUUUUCCCUUAGUUCAGCUAAGAGCUGGGUUCUUGUCACAUGGCCAUGAGAGAUCAGGCUUGCAGACACUUUGAAGAGUGAGAAUAAAUGGAAAUUAUUGGGCAAAAGGGGAAAAAAGCCCAACAGGGACCAAAAGCCCAACAGGGACCUUCUACAAAGCCAGAAUCCUGCUAGUGUGCUUCCUGCCUCGCAGACUGAAUCCCAUGUUCCACCCAGGAAGAGGAGGGGCCAGGCUCCUUCCGGCUGCAAACAGCACGAACUUCCUGAGGCUCCACCCCAGUGUGCACCCCUCCCAGUGUGCAGGCCAUUUGGAGUUUCUCUGGGGACCCCUUGGCUGUCUCAGUUUCACACACUUUUAAAUGACCAGAUCUCUGGAGAACUUGCUCACUAUUUUGGGAACAGCACCAAGGGGACUAUGCCAAACAAUUCAUGAGAAAUUUGUCGCCAUGAUUUAAAUCACUUCCCACCAGGCCCUACUGCUAACAUUGGGGAUUAUAAUUCAACAUGAGAUUUGGGCAGUGACACACAUCCAAAUCACAUCAAGAGGAAAGCAGAAUCAGCGCAACAAUUUCCAGAAAACGUUGUUGGAGGCCUUGGAUCUAAUUUUGCCUGAAACAGGCACUUAUUCCUGUGCUUUCAGUUCUAUGAGCUAAUACAUUAUUCUUUUUCCUCUUAAGAUGGUCUGGGUUGUUAUUACUUGCAACCAAGCGUCUGGAAGAAUAUAGCCUCCAAGAGAGGGCAGAGAAUGUUUAUUUCUCUUUCUCCCUAGUGUGUUAUUCACAGUACCUGCAAAAGUCUCUACCAACUUCACUUGAACUUUUCUUCUUGGAGGUAAACACACAUGAUUUUUGCUAUGCUGUGCCUCAGAACUCUGUCCCCAGGGUCAUAUUUCUAUAUAUCAGGUGAUGCCAGGCUUCACAUGCUCAAGUAUGGAUUGGGCAGCCUCCUUAUUGAAUGUUAACCAACAUCUCUCCCUGUGUCCUCUCCAAGUCCUCUGCUAUCCAGUUCCGGCUCCUUUUCUCACCAUGCGGUGACCCCAGACAAGCUCUAACAUUGAGGAUGUCAUGCUCCAAGUCUGUAUGACCCGCUGUAUGGUGGCAGCAUGAACGGAGGCUGAGGAUGACCAGAGGGGACAGCUUCUUCCCUGAUCCUAGUUUCCAGUAAUGUUUUCUCCAGACUCAGAUUCCCAGAAUCUCACCUCUGGAUAGCCUGUCAGAUGUAGCCUAAUCUUUAUAAGCUGAGAGUCAGAGGAGCCCUUACCAUCUUUUUAUCAGGAAUGAGAGAGGUUGUUGGGUGCUGCAUUGGACCUUACCUGGCCUCAUCAUCUUUCUCACUGCUGACAUCUAGGGCCCAGUCUGAUUGCUCCAUUUUUUUCCCCUUAGAGUUUCAUCCUCCAGGGUCAUCAGAGCUCAUUUAUUCAAGGGAAUGGGGUGACUCUUCUGCUUCCUGUUCAUGUUUCCUGACUGCUCCCAGGCAACCUAGCAUCUGAAUUGCUAGGCAUACCAUUGCUAUAUGCUAAUAGGAGACACCUCUUUCCCACAACCAGAGCAAAAUGAGAGGUGUUUUCACUUCAUUGAGUCUUCAAAUUUUGCACAAGAAAUGAUCCACUUGGGUUUGGGCAGUACCUUCUCUAAACUUAUGGCCUAUAGAGUCCCAACCAGAUAAUUCUCUGAGGUGCAAGGAGUCCUGCCUGUGUUGACUCGCACAGCUUAUGCAGGAUCUCCACCUUGACCUUGGAUGGUUCGGCAUCCUCCUCCUCACCAUCAGAAGGGAUCUUCCUCUUCAAGCCAAGUCUGGGGUUGAAGAUUGCAGCAAGUGUUUUAUUGUGGGACACCCACAAUCACGUGUUGGAGGCUCUUAAGUGUAUAGCGCUCAGUAAUAUAACCACCACCCUUGAUAUUGAAGCAGAGACUUUUAAUCUACCUUCUUGAAAGUGUUGGGCAUCUGAACUGCACAUCCUGGAGACCUGAGGCAUUUGACCCCCAACAACAAAGCACUGUUCAAUCUGAGGACGUGAAUGAGUUAAACAUGGGUCUCUAUGACAUUCUCUCCAUCAGCCCUCUCUUUCCACCUUGAUCCCUGCCUGUGUGGUCCUUGAACCAGGGAUGAAUUUUUCUCUUCUUGCUGUUGCAGGAGCAUUCUCUGAGACCAGUGUCAGCUUUUGUUAAGAAAGAGCUUUGCAGGCCGGGCGCCGUGGCUCAUGCCUGUAAUCCCAGCACUUUGGGAGGCCGAGGCUGGUGGAUCACGAGGUCAGGAGAUCGAGACCAUCCUUGCUAACAUGGUGAA